rnacentral:lncRNA from 1 species
GGCCCUAUCAUGAAACUGAUGCAUACUUAUUUUCUUUUGUUCAUAAGAGGCUCUUGGCUUCUUUGGAAGAGAAGGUAGUGGCAAUCUUGGAGGUAUUCUUAUUUUCUUUUAGAAGGAUAAAGAGAAGUAAAAUUCUAACAGGCCAGUAACAAGGCUCAUAGGCUCAGAUUUGGGCUAAAAUUAGGAGUUAAUGGCAAUUUAAAAAUAUCCUCCAUAGUCUACAGACUCUUAAGAUGCCUUGACUAAGAAUCCUGUGUCCCAGGAAGUGCUUGGCUUAUCCAAACACAGUUUGAUUUCCAUUGGUUUCUUCACUGUAUUUGAUGUGUAGAAUUUGCCUGGAGAGUAUUGAGACGUCAGUACCUUUAGAGAAUCCUAUCACAGCUUCUAUAGGGUGUACCUGCUCCUGCCCUUGUCCUGCAGGCAUUUUAUGCUUUCCAGCUCCAUGAAACCUUAUAAAACCUUCCAAUACAAUCAUCAUCUGUUGCUGUC